rnacentral:snRNA from 1 species
AGGGCGUGACCGAUAAGGGAUCCACUGUUAGUGCUUUUUGCAAACUAUUCCACAACGCAGUCCGAAACAAUUCGGCCUGCAAUUUUUAAUUCUAUCC